UACGGGGGGUGCGAGCGUUGUCCGGAAUCACUGGGCGUAAAGGGCGCGUAGGCGGCUCGUUAAGUACCUUGUGAAAUCCCACGGCUCAACCGUGGAACGGCUGGGUAUACUGGCGGUCUUGGGCCAUUCAGGGGCGACUGGAACAAGCGGUGGAGCGGUGAAAUGCGUAGAUAUCGCUUGGAACGCCGAAGGUGAAAACAGGUCGCUGGGGAUGUGCCGACGCUGAGACACGAAAGCCAGGGGAGCAAACGGG
rnacentral:rRNA from 1 species